CUGGGCAUAAAUUUAAAGUUUCAAUGUUCAUCAAGUGUUAUUAGAAACAUCAACAAAAGCUGCAAGAAAUUAGAAAGAUUCCAUUAGAAAUGAAUUGAAAAGAAAUUAGGAAAAGCUGUAAGAAGAUCUGGAAUAAACAAAAACAGGGUAAACAUAAAUGGAAUGAAUUAAAACUGGCUAAAAAUCUAUUGUGUGUGAAAACCUCUUCUAGAACUAAUUGCCGAAGCAUUCACAAUGAUUCAAAUGAUAACAUAUUAUGCUUUUAUACAUUCCACAACUUCAUUUAGCAAUAGAAGUUAAGGUUUCAUUAAUUACAGUAGAAGAAAAAACCAUUUAUGAUGUUUGACAUUUCAUUUUUCCCUUGUAAAAGAGCAAGAACUACAAAAUUGAACUUUAUGGUAAUACAACUUGACAUUCUAAAGCAUCUAAUCUUCUAUAGCUCUGUUCCUAAAUCUAUCUUUGUCUGCUUCAUUACUAGAUUACUUAGCAAACCAUAAGCAGUAAAGCCACUCUUUGUGCAGAAAAUAAACAAUCGAGGAAAAGUUGUGUCGUUAAUGUUGAAAAACUGUUAAAAUGGAGUGAUGCAACUAUCGUUAGUUAAAAAAUUAAUGUAUUAUGUUCCAAAUGUGCAUUUUUAGUUUUUUUCAAAGGUGAUGCAUCAGUCUCUCCCCUCAUUUCUAUAUGUCGCCUCACCUCGUCUCGUUGCCUCACCUCAUAAGAAAUUACAGUAGUAAGUAAUGGAGCUACUAGUUGAGAAUCUAGUGUUCUUUGAUGGAAACAAUGCAACAAUAGAAACUAUUGACUACACCCAAAACUUGUACUACAUGGACAUUAGAAACAAUUGACUUUUUGAAGGCGACGAGAAUCUUGUAAUAAUUGUUUACACAAAGUAAACUCUACGUAUGCGCUUAAAGUUAAUAACUUCAAACCAAAAGUUUGUCCAGAUAUUUCAUCAACCAGCUCAGUGAAGUCUUGUCCGAAUAAUGGAGUAACACUCACCAUAGAUUAGAAGAGACCAUAAAGAAUGAAGUUGAACAAAGAAGUGAAGAAAUCAUGACCAAAAAAAAGUAACAUUUUCACUUUCAACACCAACAUAAAAUGACAAACAGGGCUCCUUAGUACUAACUGUGAUGAGAACAUAUUUAGUACUAACCAUGAUGGGAACUAGUUUCAUGUCAGAUAUUCCAUCUUAUUGUGCUACAAAAACUCAUCAGGGAUCCUUAUUUGACAUCAGAUGAAUUCACUUUAUAAAAUUGUGAUUGGAGGCUAAAAGUUCUGGCAGAUUGAGUACUGAUGCAUUUUAUAAAAGUAUUGUGCCUAAUUGUUCCUAGUGAUGCAUCUGCAAAUAAUCUCUUCUAAAAUUUUGUAAAACUUAACUCAUGUUGUUAUAGUAUUUGUUGGAUUUGACAAGUUGUUUGGCCUUGAAGGUCAUUGUCUUAACGAGCCGCAACUCUGAAAAAACACUAGUCUGAUAGUUUUUUUGGAUUGGUCAACUUCAAUUCAUCUAUUACCCACAAUCCGAAGCUUAUUUGGGUUAGACUAUAUGAAUCUUCACUAAUCAUGUUACCAAUACUUUAGUCUUUAGCACAGUGUUUUGGUGAGUGAGAAGCUGAAGCCGGGAAAGAAAUACAAAGCAAAGAAAAAAAUGGUUUCAGUCAUGUAACGGAAAAAACUUGUGAGGUCUGCAAGGUUAGUUGGAUACUGUUACUACUACUUCACGUCUUUUAUUUUCCUUUUUAUUUUUGAAAACUAUGAAAAAAGAUAAACAGAGGGCUGCAAUUUUAGUUGGACUAAAAGAUAACUAAUUUGUUUGUCUAAUUGAGUCCUUUAUUUCUACCAACUAAUUGUACAUUAGUUGGAAUGUUUACUGUACCUUAGCUGGAAAUUUUAAGUAGAAAAUGACUAUAUGCAAAUCAACAAAAUAAAUUAAAAGGUCGGGUAUAUUGUUACUUACUUGAUCAGCAGAAAAAGCAGUCGUCAUGCAGUAGAAACGGGUGAUGUCGUACAUGUGAUUGAUCCAAAUAACCAAAUGAGUCAUCUAAGAGGUACCCACCAAAUUUAAACCUGAAAACAGAUCCAGUGCAUUGUAGACAUUUCCAUGGAUAAGAGCACUGCAAGUAGAUAAGCCCUGAUGCAUGUUAUUUGAAAUGAGAAAAUAUGUAUCAUAUGUUCUUGCUAUAUCAUAAGAGGUGUCAACUUGUUGCCUGAUAAGCCCUGAUGCAUGUUGUUUUGCAAUGAGAAAAUAUGUAUCAUAUUUACUUGGUAUAUCAUAAGAGGUGUCAACUUGUCGCCUGAUAGUACUGAACUGAACAUGAUCAAUUCACCGGAGAAAGUCGAGGUACAUUCCCUUAUAUGCAUUGUAAUUCAAGUGAAAACAUAAAAUAUUCUUCAAUGUUUUCGUUCAUCAAGAAGACUAGGACACUGCGUAGCAAGUCCUAGUCGUUAGGAACUCUAAUUUAUGGAUCAUUUUGAGUUAUGUCAUGGUGUAUUACCAUUUUCUUUUCAAUCACAUGAAUAGAUCUUUAGAUAUGAUAAAGAUUUAUGUUAUAGAUUACUAGUUACGACCUUUCUCUUCUUAUUCAUGGAAAAAUCAUAACCCUACAUCAAACUAUGAUUUUCACAGCUAUAUGAUUCACUCGAUGGAAGAAGAAUUCCAAAGAAUAGUUUGUAUAAGAUAAGAAUAAAUGUAGUCCUUUGCUCAUUUUUCUUCCUCUUCUCUAACUAGGCAGAGAUUUAACAGAUGCUUAAAGAGACAUUAGCCUGAAGCGCUCGCUUUUCAUUAUCGACUCUUCCUUGACUAGGUAGAGAGUUAAAAAUUACAGUGUACAAACAUGUGUUUGCUCAUCUCCAUUACUGAUGAGAGAAGUAAACACUUGUUUGUAGACUGUUAUUAUGCUGAAAUGUUUAGAGCUGAAUUUUUAUACAAUGGUUCAACAUCUCACAGCCUACAAGAGAACUUAAGACUACAGUCAAGAUGAUUAGAAGGAAAAACUAAAAGUAGUUGAAGAAAGAAGUGGUGGCUUCUCUAUGGGGAGUUAUGGUGUAGUAUAUUUCGAAAGCAAGAAAGUGGAAAUAGUUCAAAGGUUCUACGUAGAAACUUAAUUUUUUUUGUAAACACAAUGGAUUUGCAUACACAACAGAUUUCUAAAAAAAAGAGUUCUUCAAAAGAAUUGAAAACAUAAUAGAUUUGCAAAGAAAAAAAAGCAUAUUUGAUAAAAUCUGACUUGUUUCAACUUAUUAGGUGUAUUGCUUAACUUGAUUAGUAGAUGCAAGAGCUGAAGUGUUAAUCCACAUGUUCUCUUUCUCAAGAUCCAUCGAGUUCCUUUGUGUUAUUCUCAUCCCUUGACUAGAAGACAAAGC
rnacentral:lncRNA from 1 species